GAUGAACGCUGGCGGCGUGCCUAAUACAUGCAAGUCGAGCGAAGUUUUUCUGGUGCUUGCACUAGAAAAACUUAGCGGCGAACGGGUGAGUAACACGUAAAGAACCUGCCUCAUAGACUGGGACAACUAUUGGAAACGAUAGCUAAUACCGGAUAACAGUAUUUCUCGCAUGAGAGAUAUUUAAAAGUUGGUUAUGCUAACACUAUGAGAUGGCUUUGCGGUGCAUUAGCUAGUUGGUGGGGUAAAGGCCCACCAAGGCGACGAUGCAUAGCCGACCUGAGAGGGUGAUCGGCCACACUGGGACUGAGACACGGCCCAGACUCCUACGGGAGGCAGCAGUAGGGAAUCUUCCGCAAUGGGCGAAAGCCUGACGGAGCAACGCCGCGUGAGUGAAGAAGGAUUUCGGUUCGUAAAGCUCUGUUGUUAGGGAAGAAUGGAUAUGUAGUAACUAUACAUGUAAGAGACGGUACCUAACCAGAAAGCCACGGCUAACUACGUG
rnacentral:rRNA from 1 species